GGCCCUUAACAUUUAGAUCCUUUGGAUCGCUCACGCUUACUAAGCGCUGAGUAUGUGCCAUAUACUAUGCUGGGGGCUUUGCUUUAUCGCCCCAGUUGAUUCUCAUAAUAACCUUAUAUGAAAUAGGCCCGGCUAUCUUACACAUAGGAAACCCGAGGCACAGAGAGAUUAAGUUGCUCAAGGCCACACAGCCAAUUAAUAAAAGGAAAUGGUGUUUGUAUUUCAAAGUGGCAGCUGAAUUUUACCUGGAGAGUCUGUUUUGCUUGUAUUUCUUGAUUAUAUCUGCUCAGUAGGUUAAUUCCAAUACAGAGUGGAUUAAGGAAGAGCCUCUUUACAACUGUGACUCCCAAGGACUUGGGCAUCUAUAUCUUUUGUUCUUUCCUGCCAUUGCUUCCUCUGAUGUCUGCUUUCAAAAUUCAAGAUUAUCAGGCUGUGAAUUACCACUUACUCUUGUCUUUGUCCACUGUCUUUCAGCCUUAGGGGCAGACAGGGGUGGAUCCCUGGGGGAAUAACCUCCCUUGCACACUAGUUGAACAGUCUUCACAUAAGUGGAACAAGCAAAGACAACUUUUUUGGCUUGGUUUUUUCUGCAGUUCAAAAUCCAUUUUAAAUUACUUGAAUCUAGUCUUCACAUAAGUGGAACAAGCAGAGAUAACUUUCUUGCUUGGUUCUUCUCCAGUUCAAAACCCAUUUUAAAUUACUAGAAUCUGCACGUUUUUAAAGUAGUGGAAGAGGGUGGGAUAAAAAGAAGGAUAAUUCUGAAGCUGCUUUUCAAUGACGGUACGUUUAGCCACCUGAUUUCCUGAAACUGUGAAGGAGCCACAACUGUACACAGAUUUAGAAGUUAGAUCAUCAAACUUGCGGGUUUUUUUUUUUUUUAAUAUUUUUUGGAGCCGCCUACUGGCAGCGAUCUGGGGAGGAGAGGAGUCUAAAGCUCUACUUUUCCAUUUACCUCCAUGUAGAACCAGCCCAAUUGAGAGCCUCCAUCCCUGGGCAGGAGCCAAGGUCAACAGUAGCAGUGACUGGGCAGGGGUUUUCAAAAAACUAAAUUAUCAGCUUUUAAGUUUAACUGGAUUAAACUUAGUAAAUGGAUUAAAUAGUAAAAUGAAACCUGUAGUAGAGCCACAGCCAGAACUGCUGCUGUGGAUGGCCAGGCCCCUUUAACCCUCCCCAGGAACUCCAUUCUGUGUUCUUCCCACGGGUGUCAGCAGAUGUGCCAUGUAAACACCAGCAGUGGCUUGAGUGAGAUGAAG
rnacentral:lncRNA from 1 species